rnacentral:rRNA from 1 species
AGCAGCCGCGGUAAUUCCAGCUCCAAUAGCGUAUAUUAAAGUUGUUGCAGUUAAAAAGCUCGUAGUUGAAUUUCGGGGUUCUACCGUCGGUCGGGCUACCAAGUCUGUACUGGUGUGUAGAAUUCCUACCUUCUGGGGAACCAUCAUGUUAUUAGUUUAGCGUAGUGGGAAACCAGGACCUUUACCUUGAAAAAAUUAGAGUGUUCAAAGCAGGCUUAUGUCUGAAUACAUUAGCAUGGAAUAAUAGAAUAGGACGGUGGUCCUGUUUUGUUGGUUUCUGAAUCACCGUAAUGAUUAAUAGGGAUAGUUGGGGGCAUUAGUAUUCAAUUGUCAGAGGUGAAAUUCUUGGAUUUAUUGAAGACUAACUUCUGCGAAAGCAUUUGCCAAGGAUGUUUUCAUUAAUCAAGAACGAAAGUUAGGGGAUCGAAGACGAUCAGAUACCGUCGUAGUCUUAACCAUAAACUAUGCCGACUAGGGAUCGGACGAUGUUAAAUUUUAUUGACUCGUUCGGCGCCUUACG